rnacentral:misc_RNA from 1 species
GGAGUUUCCUCCAAGCAUCAUUGGAAGAUUGUGACUUGUCCUCAAAUAGAGCUCCUGGCACCGAUGCUUGCGGUUUGGCAGAAGAACUGGAAUCAGCAGCAGCUACAGCAGCUGUUACAGGUUCAGCCGGCUUGGACAAAGAUUCAAACCCACUAGAACUUCCCUUUCCAACAGCUAAUCCAGAAUCAUAAAGAAAUUCCAGCCUCUCUUGCCUGGUAACCAAGCCAGCUUGUUCCUGGAGUUGGCGAAAUUCACUGCGCUCACGCUCUUCCUGGAUCUGCUUGCGGAGCUCCUCCAACUUCCUCUGUUCGGCGUCAUGCUUCUGCUCUGCUUUCCAUACAUUUUCAAUGUUUCGAAGACUCCCCGUGUGCCAUCCCUUCUUAUUCAGAAACUUCAGAGCCAUCAAAAAUCCACAAAACUUACACUGAUUCCAACUCCCAAAUAAGACACACUAUCAGAGAACGGAAAUUACUCUCUUGCUUACCCUUAAUACCGGUCGAUUACGGCCGAUAAAGAGAUUCGUACGUCGCCGGUGGAGAGUUGGCGCCGGUGGAGAGUAUAAUAGUCUACCGAAUCAACCCGUUGGAUAUUUC